rnacentral:rRNA from 1 species
AUGGAGUCUAAGGAUGCUACAUUCUUUGAGGAUAUUUUUCCUAUGAGAGAUAUGCAAAGCACUUCUAGACAGGAAUCUGAGGAGACUCCUGAACCUGCCAUCCCUAUGGAAUAUUAUGAACAAACACAUGAUGAAAAUCCCGAGGAGGAUGACGAGGAAACCCUUGGUAGGGGCAAGAGACAAAGGACUGCAAAGACCUUUGGUGAUGAUUUCUUCGUGUACCUCGUGGAUGAUACUCCCACUUCUCUUUCAGAAGCGUAUGCCUCUCCAGAAGCUGACUACUGGAAGGAUGCGGUCCGUAGCGAGAUGGAUUCCAUCAUGGCUAACGGGACAUGGGAGAUCACUGACCGUCCCUAUGGUUGCAAACCACUGGGAUGUAAGUGGGUGUUCAAAAAGAAGCUUAGGCCCGAUGGUACGAUUGAAAAGUACAAGGCUAGGCUUGUGGCCAAGGGCUAUGACCAGCAAGAAGAGGAAGAUUUCUUUGAUACUUAUUCACCUGUGGCUAGACUGACCACCAUUCGAGUAUUACUCUCUUUGGCGGCCUCACAUGGUCUUCUCGUCCAUCAGAUGGAUGUUAAGACGGCUUUUCUAAAUGGAGAGCUAAAGGAGGAAAUCUACAUGCAACAGCCUGAUGGCUUUGUGAUAGAUGGUCAGGAAAGAAAGGUGUGUAGGUUGAUAAAAUCUUUAUAUGGCCUGAAACAAGCACCUAAGCAAUGGCAUGAUAAGUUUAAUACAACCCUGACAUCUGUUGGUUUCGUUGUUAAUGAGGCUGACAAAUGUGUAUACUAUCGCCAUGGUGGGGGCGAAGGAGUUAUACUGUGCUUGUAUGUUGAUGACAUACUGAUAUUCGGAACAAACCUCAAAGUCAUUGAGGAGGUCAAAUCGUUUCUAUCUCAGAACUUUGAGAUGAAAGACCUUGGUGUGGCUGAUGUUAUCUUGAACAUCAAGCUACUGAGAGAUAAUGAGGGUGGGAUCACACUUCUGCAAUCCCAUUACGUUGAGAAGGUGUUGAGUCAUUUUGGAUAUUCAGACUGCACACCAUCUCAAACACCAUAUGAUCCUAGCGUAUUGAUUCGAAAGUCCAAAGGCAUGGCUAAAGAUCAAUUGAGAUACUCUCAAAUCAUUGGUUCACUGAUGUACCUAGCGAGCGCAACGAGGCCUGACAUCGCGUUUGCUGUGAGCAAACUGAGCCGGUUUGUUUCCAAACCGGGUGAUGUACAUUGGCAUGCUGUUGAGAGAGUUAUGCGCUAUCUGAAAGGUACUAUGAACUAUGGACUUCACUAUACCGGAUACCCGUCGGUACUUGAAGGGUAUAGUGAUGCGAAUUGGAUCUCUGAUGCUGAUGAGAUGAAGGCCACAACUGGGUAUAUGUUUACUCUUGGAGGUGGCGCUGUUUCCUGGAAGUCUUGCAAGCAAACGAUCUUAACGAGAUCGACAAUGGAAGCAGAAUUAACGGCAUUAGACACAUCUGGUGUUGAAGCGAGAUGGCUUCGAGAUCUUUUGAUGGACUUGCCAUUGGUUGAUAAACCGGUUCCGGCUAUCCUUAUGAACUGUGACAAUCAAACUGUCAUCACCAAGGUGAAGAGUUCAAAGGACAACAUGAAGUCCACCAAACACAUAAGAAUGAGAUUAAACGCUGUUAGAAAAUUAAGAAACUCCGGAGUGAUAGCGUUGGACUAUGUCCAUACGGCUAAGAAUCUGGCAGAUCCCUUUACAAAAGGGCUAUCACGUGUUGUGAUAGAUAAUGCAUCGAGGGAGAUGGGUAUGAGACCCACAUGA